GUUAACCUUGCGUAUCUAGUGCUCAUAUUCCCUAGAGCCGAGACCAAGGACGACGAUGUUAUCAGCCGUCACACUCUUGCUGCUGGUGUCGUGCUGCGGCAUGGCGUUAGGUCAGUGGGGCGGGGACUUGUGUAGGCCGGUUUACCCUCCAUGGAACUGCAUAGCCGUGCUUUGCGCGCCCGCUACAAACUGCCGUUAUGGAUCAUUCACACCGAAAGGCCAUUGCUGCUCGGUGUGCAUAGAAGAUUGUUGGGGCUGGCCAUGGCCGUGGGGAAAGUAAAUCCACACGUCGUGAGAACAAGGUGGGCAAAGGAAUAACGACAACUACGAACAGAUAAAAUGGAUCGCAGUAACGGACGACAUGCUAUUGUACUGAAAAUGUUUGCCUUCGUUAAAAAGAAUAAAUAAAAACUAUUCAGCAA